rnacentral:rRNA from 1 species
ACGAGGUUAAGAGAGUUACACUCGAAGCCGUAGCGAAAGCGAGUCUUAAUAGGGCGCUAAGUCGCAAGGAGUUAGACCCGAAACCGGGUGGAGCUACCCAUGGCCAGGGUGAAGCGAGUCUAAAAAGCUCGUGGAGGCCCGAACCUACUAACGUUGCAAAGUUAGGGGAUGAGCUGUGGGUAGAGGUGAUAUGCCAAACGAACUCGGAUAUAGCUGGUUCUCCCGAAAUAGCUUUAGGGCUAGCGCUAUGCGUUCAGUAUUGGAGGUAGAGCACUGAAUGAACUAGGGGGCUUAAGCUUACCGAAUUCAAUCAAACUCCGAAUGCCAAUACUCCACAACAUAGCAGUCGGACUACGGGAGAUGAGUUUCGUGGUCGAGAGGGAAACAGCCCAGAUCAUCGGCUAAGGUCCCAAAAUUCAUGCUAAGUGGGAAACGAGGUGAGGUUACUUAAACAACCAGGAGGUUGGCUUAGAAGCAGCCACCCUUUAAAAAAGUGCGUAACAGCUUACUGGUCUAGUGACUUCGCGCGGAAAACUUAACGG